rnacentral:tmRNA from 1 species
UGCUAUGGUAAAAAUGGACAAUGAAAUAAACUCAUUGGACCCGGGGGCAGUACCCGGCGCCUCCACCAAAAUAUAAUAGUGGGUGAAAUUAUAUUUUAGUGGGGGCGAAAUAGGAUCGACAAGAGCGUAAAGAUUGCUUUUUUACUCGGUAUAGUACCACCGUUAUCGGACUAAAUAAGUAGUUGCAAAUGACAACUAUGCGAAAACACAUCUCGCUGCGUAAUGCGGUGCGAAUGUUUCAAAGUAAGCC